UACGUAGGGCGCAAGCGUUGUCCGGAAUUAUUGGGCGUAAAGAGCUCGUAGGCGGCUUGUCACGUCGGGUGUGAAAGCCCCGGGCUCAACCUGGGAAUUGCAUUCGAGACUGCAUGGCUAGGAUGCGGAAGAGGGAAGCGGAAUUCCUGGUGUAGCGGUGAAAUGCGCAGAUAUCAGGAAGAACACCCGUGGCGAAGGCGGUUCUCUGGGACGGUACUGACGCUGAGACGCGAAAGCGUGGGGAGCGAACAGG
rnacentral:rRNA from 1 species